GAUGAAUGCUGGCGGCGUGCUUAACACAUGCAAGUCGAGCGGGGUGAUGGUGCUUGCACUAUCACUUAGCGGCGGACGGGUGAGUAAUGCUUAGGAAUCUGCCUAUUAGUGGGGGACAACAUCUCGAAAGGGAUGCUAAUACCGCAUACGUCCUACGGGAGAAAGCAGGGGAUCACUUGUGACCUUGCGCUAAUAGAUGAGCCUAAGUCGGAUUAGCUAGUUGGUGGGGUAAAGGCCUACCAAGGCGACGAUCUGUAGCGGGUCUGAGAGGAUGAUCCGCCACACUGGGACUGAGACACGGCCCAGACUCCUACGGGAGGCAGCAGUGGGGAGUAUUGGACAAUGGGGGGAACCCUGAUCCAGCCAUGCCGCGUGUGUGAAGAAGGCCUUAUGGUUGUAAAGCACUUUAAGCGAGGAGGAGGCUCUUUUGGUUAAUACCCAAGAUGAGUGGACGUUACUCGCAGAAUAAGCACCGGCUAACUCUGUGCCAGCCGCCGCAGUAA
rnacentral:rRNA from 1 species